AGCGAACGCUGGCGGCAGGCCUAACACAUGCAAGUCGAACGAACCUUUCGGGGUUAGUGGCGGACGGGUGAGUAACACGUGGGAACGUGCCUUUAGGUUCGGAAUAACUCAGGGAAACUUGUGCUAAUUCCGAAUGUGCCCUUCGGGGGAAAGAUUUAUCGCCUUUAGAGCGGCCCGCGUCUGAUUAGCUAGUUGGUUGAGGUAAUGGCUCACCAAGGCGACGAUCAGUAGCUGGUCUGAGAGGAUGAUCAGCCACAUUGGGACUGAGACACGGCCCAAACUCCUACGGGAGGCAGCAGUGGGGAAUCUUGCGCAAUGGGCGAAAGCCUGACGCAGAUGCCGCGUGAAUGAUGAAGGUCUUAGGAUUGUAAAAUUCUUUCACCGGGGACGAUAAUGACGGUACCCGGAGAAGAAGCCCCGGCUAACUUCGUG
rnacentral:rRNA from 1 species